GCGGGAACCUCGGGUAGGGGUAACCCUUCCGAGGGGAGAGCGGCGAACGGGUGAGUAACACGUGGGCAACCUGCCCCGGACACCGGGAUAACUCAGGGAAACCUGGGCUAAUACCGGAUACCUCGGCGUGAUCGCAUGGUCGUGCCGGGAAAGCUCCGACGGUCCGGGAUGGGCCCGCGGCCUAUCAGCUUGUUGGUGGGGUAACGGCCUACCAAGGCGGCGACGGGUAGCUGGUCUGAGAGGACGGCCAGCCACACUGGGACUGAGACACGGCCCAGACUCCUACGGGAGGCAGCAGUAGGGAAUCUUGCGCUAAUGCGCGAAAGCGUGACGCAGCGACGCCGCGUGCGGGAUGAAGGCCCUCGGGUCGUAAACCGCUUUCGGCAGGGACGAAGCGAAAGUGACGGUACCUGCAGAAGAAGUCCCGGCUAACUACGUGCCAGCAGCCGCGGUAACACGUAGGGGACGAGCGUUGUCCGGAUUCAUUGGGCGUAAAGAGCGCGUAGGCGGCUCGGAAAGUCGGUCGUGAAAUCCUGGGGCUCAACCCCGGAACUGCGUCCGAUACUUCCGAGCUGGAGGCAGGUAGGGGAGAUCGGAAUUCCUGGUGUAGCGGUGAAAUGCGCAGAUAUCAGGAGGAACACCGGUGGCGAAGGCGGAUCUCUGGGCCUUGCCUGACGCUGAGGCGCGAAAGCUAGGGGAGCGAACAGGAUUAGAUACCCUGGUAGUCCUAGCCGUAAACGUUGGGUGCUAGGUGUGGGCGGAUAUCGACCCCGUCCGUGCCGAAGCUAACGCAUUAAGCACCCCGCCUGGGGAGUACGGCCGCAAGGCUAAAACUCAAAGGAAUUGACGGGGGCCCGCACAAGCGGCGGAGCAUGCGGCUUAAUUCGAUGCGA
rnacentral:rRNA from 1 species